rnacentral:lncRNA from 1 species
CUUGAUGUUGCAGGCAGUCUCCAGGCAGUAACGCAGGGGGAUGGACAAGACAUGUCAAUAUUCUCAAAUAAUACAGAUCAACAGGAGAAACUCUGUAGACGGAAUCCACUUUCAACAACCGGAGAUUAGUCCAUGAUCUGAAAACUUGCUAAAUGUGGACAAUGAGGAGAUUAACUCCAAAGCCAGACAAAAGUAAAUCACAAAGGACUUUUGGGGAAGUUCCUGUCUAAAAGCUCGCAUGAAGUAAGUCAGAGCUCUUGUCGCUUCGGAUUUCGCUACUGUAAAGUCCCUCUGGAGGGACCACAUGACGAGCGUAAUUCACGCUUUCAGCUUUUGGACACCAGGCGUAUUUCUCGGGCAGAGCUCGCCGUGUGACUUCGGGGCGCCCACCUCCCAGCCCGCCCUCGCCGUGCAGCGGGCGACAUGUCCGCGUUCCGUGACCGCUGCGGGCAUCGUUCUCGUCUUCGGGGCAGACGUGCCGAACACACGCUCCCUCGUCCUUCGGUGCGUUCCUUCACUCAUCCAGCAGCGCCCUAAGCUCCCCGCCUUCCAAGCCCUCUGCUCCACCGACCGCUGUGAGCUUUCCUUUUGGCUACGCAGCCAGCGCAACGGGCAUUUCUAUCUUUCAAGCUCGCGAUUUGCGAUACUCCCACCCGACACACGCCUCGACCGCGGACACAGAACGCGGGGAGGGGCGGGGCGGCCGGCACGGGGCUCGCCGUGCUCCCCAACCCCACGGUCCCGCUCCCCC